UGAUGAAGCAACAAGAAGACUUAUGAGUUAGGCAUCUUGUUGUUGCCAAGUAGCAAUGGCAACAGGAUUAGUGGGCUGUGGGUGAGAGCCAUCGAGAAAUCCAAACAGGCUCUGAUCCUCUAAAAAAGGAGUGAGUUACUUUCUCUAGAUCAGAAAGUUGGACGCAUUCAAUUAAAUAGAUAGAAAAUGCUACGUCGAUGGAAAAGUGAGAG
rnacentral:lncRNA from 1 species